UACGUAGGGUGCGAGCGUUAAUCGGAAUUACUGGGCGUAAAGCGUGCGCAGGCGGUUCGUUAAGACAGCUGUGAAAGCCCCAGGCUCAACCUGGGAACUGCGGUUGUGACUGGCGAGCUAGAGUGUAGCAGAGGGGGGUGGAAUUCCACGUGUAGCAGUGAAAUGCGUAGAGAUGUGGAGGAACACCGAUGGCGAAGGCAGCCCCCUGGGCUAACACUGACGCUCAGGCACGAAAGCGUGGGGAGCAAACAGG
rnacentral:rRNA from 1 species